rnacentral:rRNA from 1 species
UACGUAGGGGCCGAGCGUUGUCCGGAAUUACUGGGCGUAAAGCGCGCGCAGGCGGCUGGCCAAGCCCGACGUGAAAGCCCCCGGCUCAACCGGGGAGGGUCGUCGGGGACUGGUCGGCUUGAGGGCGGUAGGGGCCGGUGGAAUUCCCGGUGUAGUGGUGAAAUGCGUAGAGAUCGGGAGGAACACCAGUAGCGAAGGCGGCCGGCUGGGCCGACCCUGACGCUGAGGCGCGAAGGCGUGGGGAGCGAACGGGAUUAGAAACCCCAGUAGUCC